GACGAACCGUGCGAACGUUAUUCGGAAUCAUUGGGCUUAAAGGGCGCGUAGGCGGCGGUGUAAGUUGGAAGUGAAAUCCCAUCGGCUCAACCGUGGAAUUGCUCCCAGUACUGCAUCGCUCGAGGGGGAUAGGGGUUUGCGGAACUACCGGUGGAGCGGUGAAAUGUGUUGAUAUCUACAGGAACUCCGGUGGCGAAAGCGGCGUGCUGGACCUUUUCUGACGCUGAGGCGCGAAAGCUAGGGGAGCAAACGGG
rnacentral:rRNA from 1 species